rnacentral:misc_RNA from 1 species
AAGCUGUUUCCUAUAUGAUUUCUAAAAGGAAAAUGCCUCUAAUAUUUCGAAAUAUCAUUAAUAAUAUGAAAGAUAUUUCCAAUUUAUAGCCUAGCGGGUGAAUUUUCCCAACUAAUAUGGGAGGAAAUAAAAGAUGAAAAGAGAUGAAAAAAGUAGGUCUUGUGUCAAACUCAGGUUAGGUUUUUCAGAGUCUUGUAAGUGAGAAUUUGAGGAAAUUGGUGAUGUUUAGCUAAAAAAUUCAAAAUACUGGAGAAGUUUUUUUUUUACUGCUUUGAUCCAUUAAAUUGGGCCAAGAAAAUGGUACAUUUUGCAUAUUGCCAGUACAUAUCACAUGUAUGCAUAGCCAAUAUCAGCUGGACUACAGUGAGACAAAAUUAAAAGGCAUAUAUCAUAUAUUUCAAAUAUUUUGUUUGUCUUUUAUUCAUGUGAUAAUGUUUUUCACAAUCCUUUACUUGUUUCAGAUGACCUAGAUGCUACAGUUAUAACCAAAGAUGUCUGCCCGAUACAUGAAACUCCCAACCUCAGAUCAGUAUGACGAUAUCCGCCUGGAUUUCUCCUCCUCCUUUGAUUACAACAAAGGAGCCAAUCAAAACACUCCAUUCAAUAAUGAAAACUACAGAUCUGCUUUCACUUUUUCAAAUUCCCCAGCAUACAAUGCAUACACUGAAAAUAUACAGUUUACAAGAGUGAAGCAGCCAUUGAUUGGGCGGAUCUGCCACCUGUUUCUGACCGCCUGCUGUAUGCUUCUGCUGAUCCUUACCUUCCCUAUCAGUGGGUGGUUCUGCUUCAGAAAACUUGGAGAGUACGAGAGAAUUGCAAUAUUUCGGCUUGGACGACUUGUAGAAAUCAAAGGCCCAGGAAUAGCAUUUAUUUUACCCUGUGUGGAUAACUGCAGAAAAGUGGACAUGAAAAUUAAGGCAUUUAAAGUUCCUCCUCAACAGAUUAUAUCCUCAGAUGGAGGUGUUGUGGAGGCAGGAGCCGAUGUUUUCUACAAAAUCGUUGAUGCAGAAAAGUUUGUUCUGAGUUUGCAGGAUCUGGACUCGCCUCUGCGCACGCUGGUCAUGGCGUCACUCAAAAACAACUUUGUGAGGAGGGAUGUUGACGACAUGCUGACUAAUAAGCUGAUUAUAGCUGCUGAAAUUAAGGAAGACACAAACUCUACAACCAGUGGCUGGGGAGUGGAGGCUGUCAAGGUAGAAAUACCACUGAUAAAAAUUCUGCAUGCCCCAGAGCCCAAGAACCCAUUAGCUGGACUCGGUUUGGGAGGGGAUCUCCCCAAUACUUUCCAGCAACUCGCCACCAUGUUUAUGCAGAGUGCCAAAGAUUCCAGUGCUAAGACACCCAAUGAGGAGCCGGGGGCCACAGCGGCCCCAGCCACACUACCCACUGUGAUGGCGCUCUCUCCAGAUGGCGCUGCUGGCAGUGUAGAGGGUGCUCCUAACCCAAGGGAGAUCAUCCGAGUGGCUAGAGGGCUGAUCAAUGAGACGACAGUCAGACAAAAUGGCUACCUGUAUCUGUUCCAGCUGGAUGGGGAAAAUGGAGGAUUGUUUUACUUGGAUCUCAAGAAUGGCAAUGGGGGUGCAGGAGAAGGCUUGCCCUCUACGGAACCUGAUGUGACCUUGACCUUAUCUGUGUCAGAUAUGCAGAACAUGUUUAUGGGGAACAUAAAGCCUCUACAAGUUUACAUGAGUGGAAGGUUGAAAGUGUCAGGGGACUUAUCAGCGGCCAUUAAUAUAGAGGACUUUGUGAAGAGAGUAGUAGAUAAAAUGAAAUCCGAUUCAAGGGAAAAUGAUGGUAGACUUCAAUAUGUAUAAAAUAGAUUAAAUAUGGCAAUGAUUGCUGAAGUAUCAACAAAAACAGUCAACAAAAAUGUGUGAAGUGUCCAUAUUUUUAAUUUGAGUGGAACUUUCUCAUUGUCUGUGAUAUCCCUUUUCUAGCCAGGAAUAUUCAAUACAUGUACAUUCAGAGAAUUUCUUAGUGUUAAAACAUCUCAGGCAUCUGGUACUAUGCUGAAAUACUAUUUUGGUUUUUAAUUAAUAGAGUAAUUGUCAAUUCAUUUAUAUUUGUGGAAUCAACUUUUCAGUGAUUUUUUCUCUGGAUCUUACUAAAUUGUCAAUAUAUAUCAUAAAUUGCUUUUCAAUAUUUGUUGUCAGAUGUUAUUUCUGUUUUUUGUAGAUUAGGGCAUAAAAUAUUUUUUUUUAGAAUUUAAUCAUUAUGAAUGAUUAAGAUUACACAGCAUGAUUAUGCACCUGUAGAUGAUAGUUUGUGUGUGUGUUGUUUAAUUAGGAAUCACAUUUGACUCAUAGAGUCAGGCAAGCUAAAUGUUCAAUUCAUGAUGUAUUUAACUUUCUUUAACUUCAUUAUCUUGAAACACUAGCUGAGUGAUUGCAUGUAACAGUCUAACUUGGCCAAGCAAAGUUAGCUGGUGUUGAUUCUGACAACCCUCUUCCAUUGCCAUGUUUUAUCUCAGAGGAACAAACCAGGUCCCAAUGUACAUGUUUAAAAAAUUAUGUUUUUGUAAAAUGCUAUUUCAUUGGCUUUAAAUAGUGUUCAUGCCUGUAUAAACUUUCGUUUUGAUGCCACAAAAAAAAUCAAUAUGCUUGAUUUUACAUUUAUAUAAAUAUGUUUAUGAACAGGACAGUUCAUCUCAACAUUAUGAUAGAGAAUUCAAUUACACCAUAGCAAGGGGGUUUAUACGAGUAUAAAUUGGCCAGGAAAGUUUACACUUAUUUAUAAAGUGCCCAGUCCAUUUAUUUUUAUUGUAUAACUUCUCUAGAUUUUGAGGUUAAUACUAUACAGUCCUAUAGUAGAUUUUAGCAUAUAAGUACAUGUACCUGUAUGGACUUCCCUGUGAUAAAGUCCCUGAAAAAAUACAUUACGGUGUAUUUUAUUUAUUUGCUUAUACUUAUUCAUAUAUGAGUGUUUUUCUUUUAUUUUGUUGUAUCUUUUUUUUGUAUUUAUAUUUAAGAGAAUAAAUGUCACACUUUAUUUAAAUCU